GGCUCUGGGGCUGGCAGUCACAAGCCCCACCCCCAGCUGGAGAUGAGGCCGGAACUCUGGGAUGCUGGGAGCCGUGUGCCAGGCCCGACUCCUGGCACUGCCAUCCGGGCACAUGGGACAUCUGCUCCUUGGGAUCAGACCCCACAGAUAACAGGGAGGGAGCGUGGCAGCCACCAAGACUCCUCGGAGGGCUCCAGUCCCCGGCAGGUGUGGUGUGGGCCCCGCAUCCCAGCCCUGUCUCUCUAACACCUUAUCCAGCCCUGGCAACCCUUGUCCGAGGGCACGAGACCCCAGCCCGCCCACCACGGAAAUCUGUGCUGGAGGCUCCCCCGGCCCACGGGCAGAGACUUGCAGGAGCCGAGGUGGUGUGCAGACAGAAACAAGUUCCCAGGGUGACAGGCAGCGGGCAAAGUUUAAUCCAGUUCUUUGAUGUGGACAAGGAAGGCUGGGGAAGGGGGUGUGUGUGCUCAGGGGGCACGGGCUGACUCACAAGGAGGAAUUCCAGGCACGCUUUGCGGGGAGCAGGUAAGGGUUAAUGAGGAGGUGCUGUUCAGGUGGCGCCCGGCCCAGAGCUUCCCGGGUGAGCUGGUCAGUGAGACAUUGGUGGGUGGAGCCCGAGAGUCGGGCGCCCUGGAGAUGCGGUGCCACUCCAAAAAAGGGCGGGGCGGGCGUGGGGGUGUUGGAGGUGGCCCCCUUGGGUUGCCCCACUUCCAAUGGACCUCCCCUUCCAUUACAGCCCCAUCCCAUGCUUAAAUCCUCAAAAUAACACCACGUGCGUUCACUGGAGGACACAAAGGCUCCAAGAACCCUUCUUCAGACGGCGGGUCGCUCUGGAGGCAGUGAGGAGGGCCGCUCUGCCGAUCCUGCAUCUUCUGGUCACCUUGAGGACAAAGGCGUUAAGACUCCCGGUUAGGCAAGGAUGCCUCUCAGCCACCCCCUCCUAAGGCCUCCAGGAAUUUUACAGUGUCAAGCACACCAGUACCCUGGGCAGGUGUAAGGCUUAGUCACCCCAUAAAAUGAAGGGGGCAUUUAAUCACCAAGAGGGCAAGCACUAGCCCCUGGUCACAUGGUGAGUGGGAGCCAGGACUCUGAACCCCAUUUGUUUAUUUCCCCAUGAGGGAAAACAGGUUCAGGGAGGCGACGGGGCUCACCCAUCCCACAAGUCUAGCUUCUGGAAAGGACAGAGACUUAGGAAGAGGGACCUGGAGCCCUGCCCUAUGAACGCACUGCCUGCUGCUCUCCAGCCAGGGCCCCUUGGGUGCACACAGGCCAGCAGCAGUUCACUGUGACCCCACACCCAGCACCAUUUCCUACCUGGUCCGCACAGUCCAGCCCAGCAUCCCAGAGGUGAUAGCUGCAAUGGAGCCUGGCACUGGAACCAGUCCGACGUCUGGGUCAGUGGGAACGAGAAGUUGGCAGGCUGCCCGUGGUUCGGUCUCUGCUGCAUGUGCACGCGCCCAUCCUUCCUGACCAGGCUGUAGGUGAUGGGUGGGCUGCCCGAGGACGCCUGGCAGGAAAUCUCUACCCUGGGGCCUGCUCCUCUGUCCAGGAGAGUGAAGUCAGCCUGCAGCUGGGACACGGGGUCUGACAGGGUGCGAGAAGGGAGCACAGGCAUGGCUGGGAGACCCUCUCCCCAGCAAGUUCCCCUUGUUACAAAAUGACAAAUGAGCCUGGAGGCCUGUGAUUGCCACUUCCUCCAGAGAAGCAACCAAGACCCAGAGAGGUUGAGUGACUUGCCCAAGACCACACAGCCUCCAGACCCUGGGCUCUCCUCCCCUAGGCUGUCUUUUCUCAGGGGUGGGUCCAGGGGGUCAUGUCCUACCCGGU